rnacentral:rRNA from 1 species
AACGGCUGGCGGCGUGCCUAAUACAUGCAAGUCGAACGGUCUUUUCUAUGGAAGCUUGCUUCCACUGAGAAGAUAGUGGCGAACGGGUGAGUAACACGUGGGUAACCUGCCCAUAAGAGGGGGAUAACAUCCGGAAACGGGUGCUAAUACCGCAUAGUUUUCUUGAUCGCAUGAUUGAGAAAGGAAAGACGGCCUUUGUGCUGUCGCUUAUGGAUGGACCCGCGGCGUAUUAGUUAGUUGGUGAGGUAACGGCUCACCAAGACGAUGAUACGUAGCCGACCUGAGAGGGUGAUCGGCCACAUUGGGACUGAGACACGGCCCAAACUCCUACGGGAGGCAGCAGUAGGGAAUCUUCCGCAAUGGACGAAAGUCUGACGGAGCAACGCCGCGUGAGUGAAGAAAGGUUUUCGGAUCGUAAAACUCUGUUGUCAGAGAAGAACAAGUUGGAGAGUAACUGCUCCAGCCUUGACGGUAUCUGACCAGAAAGCCACGGCUAACUACGUGCCAGCCGCAGC